rnacentral:rRNA from 1 species
UACGAGGGGGGCGAGCGUUGUUCGGAAUUAUUGGGCGUAAAGGGUGCGUAGGCGGUUUGGUAAGUCUUGUGUGAAAGCUACAGGCUCAACUUGUAGUCUGCACGAGAAACUGCCGGGCUUGAGUGUGGGAGAGGUGAGUGGAAUUCCUGGUGUAGCGGUGAAAUGCGUAGAUAUCAGGAGGAACACCUGUGGCGAAAGCGGCUCACUGGACCAUAACUGACGCUGAUGCACGAAAGCUAGGGGAGCAAACAGG